UACGAAGGGAGCUAGCGUUGUUCGGAAUCACUGGGCGUAAAGCGUGCGCAGGCGGCUUUCCAAGUCAGAGGUGAAAUGCCGGGGCUUAACCCCGGAACUGCCUUUGAAACUGGAUGGCUUGAGACUCGGAGGGGUUAGCGGAAUUCCUAAUGUAGCGGUGAAAUGCGUAGAUAUUAGGAGGAACACCAAUGGCGAAGGCAGCUAACUGGACGAGUACUGACGCUCAUGCACGAAAGCGUGGGGAUCAAACAGG
rnacentral:rRNA from 1 species